rnacentral:lncRNA from 1 species
UACUGCUCUAUAGUCUAUAGUAGUAGCCGACCAACGGUCGGUGCCAACGUCUGCUCUGUUGAUCCAUCUGAAUGGACGGCUUUUACACCAUGUUCAAUUGUUCAUGGACGGCUUGUACACCAGUGAAAUUGGGAAAAGACGGCUUGUACACCACCUGAAAAAAGUCGUCCAUUACUAAGCCAUCCCUGGCUGAUGCAUCAUCGUCUGAUGCAUUGUCCGAGCUUUUAUAUCUUAAGUGUUUGAACAAGAAAUUACAUGGAGAGGAAGCUUCAGUUUGGUACUUGAUUUGUCCCUUUGUUGGGCAAGAUGGAAAAAGAUCAGUGUUCGGAUCAAAAAUAGUAUUCCCAUGCUUUUCCUUGAAAUCCUGUGAUGCUCACUGUUGUGGCGGAAUUAUCUCAUUUGUUCGUUUUCGAAUUACAUGCGUCAUUUCUGCUAGAAUAGAAAACUGAUUACCAGAUCAUACAUCGAAAUGUUUGAAGAUUUGAUUUUAGACUUCAUAGUUGGUUUUUCACUAUCACAAGUUAACUCUUUAUAUACGCUUACAAUGAAAGAACGUGUCGUGCUGCAUUCAAACAUUGAAAAGUCCAGUUUCCGUGGGUGGUUUCGUUGUUGUAAAUGUUUUCCUUCUGCCAAAGUAGAUAUUGCCAGUCGUUUGGACCAAGUUCUCUUGCGCUAACUUACGUAGUAUUGUCUCCCAGCAAUUCGAUAGUUUGCAUUUUGUCAUUUCUUGUGUUUUAUUGUUGCGUAUCAGUUGUGCUUAUUUUGGAACGUUUGUUUUAUGUCG